rnacentral:RNase_P_RNA from 1 species
CGAGCGGGUUGGACGGUCGCUGGCAGCUGCGCUGAAGCAGGUGCUGGAGGAAAGUCCGGGCUCCAUAGAGCAGGAUGCCAGGUAACGCCUGGGGGGUGUGAACCUACGGAAAGUGCCACAGAAAAUAUACCGCCUUGAGUGCGUGAUACGUACUCAAGGUAAGGGUGAAAUGGUGCGGUAAGAGCGCACCGCGUCGACCAACAUCGACGGCACGGUAAACCCCAUCCGGAGCAAGACCAAAUAGGGGAGUAAGCUGCCUUGUGCAGCAAAGCGCGGCUCGCGUGGACUCCCGGGUAGGUCGCUACAGGCCUGCGGUAACGUAGGUCGCAGAUGAAUGGCCGUCACUGCGCGAGCAGUACAGAACCCGGCUUAUAGACCCGCUCGUUUU